rnacentral:rRNA from 1 species
CCAGACUCCUACGGGAGGCAGCAGUGGGGAAUAUUGGACAAUGGACCAAGAGUCUGAUCCAGCAAUUCUGUGUGCACGAUGAAGUUUUUCGGAAUGUAAAGUGCUUUCAGUUGGGAAGAAAGAAAUGACGGUACCAACAGAAGAAGUGACGGCUAAAUACGUGCCAGCAGCCGCGGUAAUACGUAUGUCACGAGCGUUAUCCGGAUUUAUUGGGCGUAAAGCGCGUCUAGGUGGUUAUGUAAGUCUGAUGUGAAAAUGCAGGGCUCAACUCUGUAUUGCGUUGGAAACUGUGUAACUAGAGUACUGGAGAGGUAAGCGGAACUACAAGUGUAGAGGUGAAAUUCGUAGAUAUUUGUAGGAAUGCCGAUGGGGAAGCCAGCUUACUGGACAGAUACUGACGCUGAAGCGCGAAAGCGUGGGUAGCAAACAGGAUUAGAUACCCUGGUAGUCCACGCCGUAAACGAUGAUUACUAGGUGUUGGGGGUCGAACCUCAGCGCCCAAGCAAACGCGAUAAGUAAUCCGCCUGGGGAGUACGUACGCAAGUAUGAAACUCAAAGGAAUUGACGGGGGCCCGCACAAG